CACGCAGGCGGUUUGUUAAGUCAGAUGUGAAAUCCCCGGGCUCAACCUGGGAACUGCAUCUGAUACUGGCAAGCUUGAGUCUCGUAGAGGGGGGUAGAAUUCCAGGUGUAGCGGUGAAAUGCGUAGGGAUGUGGAGGAAUACCGAAGGCGAAGGCAGCCCCUUGGGAAUGUACUGACGCUCAUGUGCGAAAGCGUGGGGAGCAAACA
rnacentral:rRNA from 1 species